rnacentral:rRNA from 1 species
GCGUGAGUGAAGAAGGCCUUCGGGUUGUAAAGCUCUUUUGUCAGGGACGAUAAUGACGGUACCUGAAGAAUAAGCCCCGGCAAACUUCGUGCCAGCAGCCGCGGUAAUACGAAGGGGGCUAGCGUUGUUCGGAAUUACUGGGCGUAAAGCGCACGUAGGCGGCUUGUUAAGUCAGGGGUGAAAUCCCGGAGCUCAACUCCGGAACUGCCUUUGAUACUGGCAAGCUAGAGUUCGGAAGAGGUUAGUGGAAUUCCCAGUGUAGAGGUGAAAUUCGU